rnacentral:rRNA from 1 species
GUGAGGAAUUUUCCGCAAUGGGCGAAAGCCUGACGGAGCAAUGCCGCGUGAAGGAUGAAGGCCUAUGGGUUGUAAACUUCUUUUCUCAGAAAAGAAUUAUGACGGUAUCUGAGGAAUAAGCAUCGGCUAACUCUGUGCCAGCAGCCGCGGUAAGACAGAGGAUGCAAGCGUUAUCCGGAAUGAUUGGGCGUAAAGCGUCUGUAGGUUGUUUAAAAAGUAUUCUGUCAAAGAUUAGGGCUUAAACCUAGAUAGGCAGAAUAAACUUUUAAGCUAGAGGUUGGUAGAGGCAGAGGGAAUUCCCGGUGGAGCGGUGAAAUGCGUAGAUAUCGGGAGGAACACCAAAGGCGAAGGCACUCUGCUGGGCCAAUACUAACACUGAGAGACGAAAGCGAGGGGAGCAAAUGGGAUUAGAAACCCCUGUAGUCC